UUUCCUACGGGGGGCAGCAGUGGGGGAUAUUGCACAAUGGGGGGAACCCUGAUGCAGCGACGCCGCGUGGGUGAAGGAGCGUUUCGGCGCGUAAAGCCCUAUCGGCAGGGAAGAAGAUGACGGUAUCUGACCAAGAAGCCCCGGCUAACUACGUGCCAGCAGCCGCGGUAAUACGUAGGUGGCAAGCGUUGUCCGGAAUUACUGGGUGUAAAGGGAGCGCAGGCGGGAAGCCCAGUC
rnacentral:rRNA from 1 species